rnacentral:rRNA from 1 species
UUAAUAUUCCUGUACUUGGUGUUACUGCGAAGGGGGGACGGAGAAGGCUAUGUUGGCCGGGCGACGGUUGUCCCGGUUUAAGCGUGUAGGCUGGUUUUCCAGGCAAAUCCGGAAAAUCAAGGCUGAGGCGUGAUGACGAGGCACUACGGUGCUGAAGCAACAAAUGCCCUGCUUCCAGGAAAAGCCUCUAAGCAUCAGGUAACAUCAAAUCGUACCCCAAACCGACACAGGUGGUCAGGUAGAGAAUACCAAGGCGCUUGAGAGAACUCGGGUGAAGGAACUAGGCAAAAUGGUGCCGUAACUUCGGGAGAAGGCACGCUGAUAUGUAGGUGAAGCGACUUGCUCGUGGAGCUGAAAUCAGUCGAAGAUACCAGCUGGCUGCAACUGUUUAUUAAAAACACAGCACUGUGCAAACACGAAAGUGGACGUAUACGGUGUGACGCCUGCCCGGUGCCGGAAGGUUAAUUGAUGGGGUCAGCGCAAGCGAAGCUCUUGAUCGAAGCCCCGGUAAACGGCGGCCGUAACUAUAACGGUCCUAAGGUAGCGAAAUUCCUUGUCGGGUAAGUUCCGACCUGCACGAAUGGCGUAAUGAUGGCCAGGCUGUCUCCACCCGAGACUCAGUGAAAUUGAACUCGCUGUGAAGAUGCAGUGUACCCGCGGCAAGACGGAAAGACCCCGUGAACCUUUACUAUAGCUUGACACUGAACAUUGAGCCUUGAUGUGUAGGAUAGGUGGGAGGCUUUGAAGUGUGGACGCCAGUCUGCAUGGAGCCGACCUUGAAAUACCACCCUUUAAUGUUUGAUGUUCUAACGUGGACCCGUGAUCCGGGUUGCGGACAGUGUCUGGUGGGUAGUUUGACUGGGGCGGUCUCCUCCUAAAGAGUAACGGAGGAGCACGAAGGUUGGCUAAUCCUGGUCGGACAUCAGGAGGUUAGUGCAAUGGCAUAAGCCAGCUUGACUGCGAGCGUGACGGCGCGAGCAGGUGCGAAAGCAGGUCAUAGUGAUCCGGUGGUUCUGAAUGGAAGGGCCAUCGCUCAACGGAUAAAAGGUACUCCGGGGAUAACAGGCUGAUACCGCCCAAGAGUUCAUAUCGACGGCGGUGUUUGGCACCUCGAUGUCGGCUCAUCACAUCCUGGGGCUGAAGUAGGUCCCAAGGGUAUGGCUGUUCGCCAUUUAAAGUGGUACGCGAGCUGGGUUUAGAACGUCGUGAGACAGUUCGGUCCCUAUCUGCCGUGGGCGCUGGAGAACUGAGGGGGGCUGCUCCUAGUACGAGAGGACCGGAGUGGACGCAUCACUGGUGUUCGGGUUGUCAUGCCAAUGGCACUGCCCGGUAGCUAAAUGCGGAAGAGAUAAGUGCUGAAAGCAUCUAAGCACGAAACUUGCCCCGAGAUGAGUUCUCCCUGACUCCUUGAGAGUCCUGAAGGAACGUUGAAGACGACGACGUUGAUAGGCC